GAGACCAGAGAAAGGACAGCUACAACGAGGAGAGAAGUUGGAAUAACAAGCAAUCAGUGCGUCAGUCUCUGCAGCCCUUCAAUGAGUUCCUCCUCUUCAUGGUCCACCUUUCAGUCGGUCUUCCACAGAGAGAUCUGGCUUACACAAAACACUUGGGAUGGAUUAAUUUGGUUUUAUUUGUACAGACUAGAAUAUAAAAUGGAAAUUAAAUAUUAUGUAAAUGCAAAUAUAUAUAACUUUAAUAUGGUUUCUUGCUAACCAGUGUAAUGUAAACGUAAAUAUCCACACAAAAAAUUUAGAAACUUUGAUACAGUGUAAUAGUUAUGUAAAAUACAAAUACUAAUAACUGUGAUUGUGUAAUGGUAUGUUACUAUGUUUUUUUUUUAACACUUCUGCCACUUG